rnacentral:rRNA from 1 species
AGAGUUUGAUCCUGGCUCAGAACGAACGCUAGCGGCAUGCUUAACACAUGCAAGUCGAACGAAGGUAUUUAUACCUUAGUGGCAAACGGGUGAGUAACGCGUGGAAAUCUACCUUUUGGAGGGGGAUAACUGAGGGAAACCUUGGCUAAUACCGCAUAAGCUUGGAAACAAGGAAAGAUUUAUCGCCAAGAGAUGAGUCCGCGUCAGAUUAGGUAGUUGGUAGGGUAAAGGCCUACCAAGCCAACGAUCUGUAGCUGGUCUGAGAGGAUGAUCAGCCACACUGGGACUGAGAUACGGCCCAGACUCCUACGGGAGGCAGCAGUGAGGAAUAUUGGACAAUGGGGGAAACCCUGAUCCAGCAAUGUCGCGUGAAUGAAGAAGGCCUUCGGGUUGUAAAAUUCUUUCGCUCAUGAAGAUAAUGACGGUAAUGAGAGAAGAAGCUCCGGCUAACUCUGUGCCAGCAGCCGCGGUAAUACAGAGGGAGCAAGCGUUGUUCGGAAUGACUGGGCGUAAAGGGUGCGUAGGCGGUUUUUUAAGCAAGGUGUUAAAGCCCCGAGCUCAACUCGGGAAUCGCGCUUUGAACUGGAAGACUAGAGUACGAGAGAGGAAAGUGGAAUUCCUAGUGUAGAGGUGAAAUUCGUAGAUAUUAGGAGGAAUACCAAAAGCGAAGGCAGCUUUCUGGAUCGUCGCUGACGCUGAGGCACGAAAGCGUGGGGAGCAAACAGGAUUAGAUACCCUGGUAGUCCACGCCCUAAACGAUGAGUACUAGACGUUGGGAAGUAAUCCCGGUGUCGCAGCUAACGCGUUAAGUACUCCGCCUGAGGACUACGGUCGCAAGACUAAAACUUAAAGGAAUUGACGGGGACCCGCACAAGCGGUGGAGCAUGUGAUUUAAUUCGAAGAUACGCGAAAAACCUUACCAGCUUUUGACAUGAAGAUUAAGAUUUUUGGAGACAAGAGUCACCAGUUCGGCUGGGUCUUCACAGGUGUUGCAUGGCUGUCGUCAGUUCGUGUCGUGAGAUGUUGGGUUAAGUCCCGCAACGAGCGCAACCCUUAUCCUUAUUUGCUAACAGGUCAAGCUGAGAACUAUAGGGAGACUGCCGGUGAUGAACCGGAGGAAGGCGAGGAUGACGUCAAGUCCUCAUGGCCCUUAUAGGCUGGGCUACACACGUGCUACAAUGGCGGUUACAAAAGGUCGCAAAGGGGAGACCCGGAGCUAAUCCUGGAAAGACCGUCUCAGUUCGGAUUGUUCUCUGCAACUCGAGAGCAUGAAGUUGGAAUCGCUAGUAAUCGUAGAUCAGCACGCUACGGUGAAUACGUUCACGGGUCUUGUACACACCGCCCGUCAAGCCAUGGGAGUUGGUUCUACUUGAAGCCGGUGCGCUAACCGAAAGGAGGCAGCCGUCCAUAGUGGGGUCGAUGACUGGGGUUAAGUCGUACAAGGUA